GGUCGUUUAGUUCAGUGGUUAGAACAUCAGCCCCCUUAGCUGAAGACCUAGGUUCAAUUCCUAGAAUGACCA
rnacentral:tRNA from 1 species